CUCUGAUUGGACAGUAAUGUUGUUGCUGCUGUUUGUGGUAGCUGAUUGGUCUGGCCCACCAUUCAGUGAGUGAGGGUUUGUCAAGCGGAGCCUCCGGGGAGCCUCUGUGGCAUAAUGACCCAUGACGAGGCGAAGCAGAGUCCCUUAUCAGUUUGCAAAAAAUAGCUGAGAAGCACAGCAACAAAACUGGGAGCAAAGACCAAGGGGGGCGUCAGGGAACCUCACAUGACCUUGCCAGCUUCAAUCAUGGCGGCUCAUCAGUGGUGGUUAGGUGGGCAGGCGGUGUGGUGGAGCAAGUGGCUGGAAGGCUUUAUUGACAGGAUUGUCUGUGACUGCUGAGAAUAAGAAAGAGAAUGACCAGUUCUGAUUAAGGAAGACGAAAGACAUCCUGGAGAGGGAGCGCUGCUCAGUACUGCUGCGUACUGCACUGCCUCUGCACGCCUGCAUGCCUGUGUCUGUGUGACUAAGCAAGUGUGUGCGUGUGAGUGUGUGUGAGAAAGUGAGAGAGAGAGAGAGAGAAAGGGGGCGUGUUGAUUUGUGUGCUCUGCUGCACAGCCACGAUAGUGUGAGCUGAGUGAUGCUCGCUGGCUGUCUCUCUCUCUCUCUCUCUCUCUCUCUCCCCCUGUGCUGUACCUCUUUCUGCCGAGCAUUGAUGAACCAUUUUAUGCUACAGAGCUGCCAUAGCCAUCGUACCAGUCCUUCUGCUGGUUGCUUUUUUGUCCUUCCAUCGCAGGAGGAAACAACUGCCACUGCAUUGGUCCUCUCCCCAAUGCUGCUAAGGAUCCUUUUGCUGCUGCUGCUGUUGUUGCUGCUGCUGCUGCUGCUGCUGGGGAGAUAAGGAUGAUCAUCAUAACAUGUCUUAGCGUCUCAGACUCGUAGCGGCUACGUUGAGAAAUGAAGUUUCCCCCCUCCAGCUCCAAGGUGUGCAGCAUUUGGACAGCUUUCGUCUUCUAGAGGACAACAGCCAAGCUCUGAGCCUCAGCCCGGACACUCAGAGUCACCAAAGGCUAAAGCAAAAGUUACUGGUGAGAUGUCUGAGUGAGAAAGGGAGAUAAAGUCUUGUUGAUGCUGGACUGGACACGGACCAUUUGGGGCACAUGAAGACUGCUGUGGAGGCAUUCGCUCUCAGCGGUUGUCGGGUUCUCAUGCUGCUCAUUCUGCUUCGGAUUGUGAACUUGUGAGCCAUGAGUUAUUUUUCCUGAAGAUGUUGGUUUAAAUUUGAAAUGAGCUGUGCAUGCCUAUGCUAGUGUUCAUUUAGAAUCAUCAUUGGGAUUAAUUGGAGUCAAAGAGGCAGCAGUGUUUCCCACAGGGUCUUGUGAGACUGUGGUGUGUGGAUCACAGAUCCUCUUGAAGGAUCUGAGUGGCAUGAGCUACAGAUACAAUUUUAUGCAUUUGAAAAAUUAAAUGCAUCAAGCUGGUGCGCUUUGAGAGCAAAAUUAAGAGGUUAAAUAAUGACAACAUUGUGCUUGGAUUGUGGAUGAGUGCAGUGGAGAGAGUGCAGAGCAGUUUCUGACCUCCCCGAGGCCCUGAGCAAAAAUUUAGCUAAUUCUGCUCUCUGACCCGUGAGCCAUUUAAAUCAUUUGCUAUUGCCACACAUUCCCGCCUGACACCCCAGUGCUCCCACUACAAUUCUCCCUCCUUUAAAACAGUUUGCUCCAUCUGGCAUUCUAAGAGUAAGUAUCUAUUCAUAAUAACAUGAGAAUGUAUAAACAAAUCUAUUUAUUCAAUAUUUUCAACAGAAUCUUAAGUGACAUUAACAUUAAAUCACAUCUUACUGAUUACUUGAUGGUUAUUUAUUUCCUGAGAGAUCCAUAUUGGCAG
ensembl:lncRNA